rnacentral:lncRNA from 1 species
UAGAAUUAGAAUACAGUGGUACCUCGGGUUAAGUACUUAAUUUGUUCCGGAGGUCCGUACUUAACCUGAAACUGUUCUUAACCUGAAGCACCACUUUAGCUAAUGGGGCCUCCUGCUGCUGCCGCGCUGCCGGAGCCCGAUUUCUGUUCUUAUCCUGAAGCAAAGUUCUUAACCUGAAGCACUAUUUCUAGGUUAGCGGAGUGUGUAACCUGAAGCGUAUGUAACCCGAGGUACCACUGUAAUAAUAAUAAGAAGAGCAGCAGCAGAAGUAGAAGCAGCAGCAGCAGCAGCAGCAGCAAGAACAACAACAGAAUAAGAUGUCCUUAUUUUCAUCGGAGAAAUAUUGGAAGGUAUGAAAUAGCAAUGUGCUAGAAGUUUUUAAAUUCCUCAGUCUGAAAAUGAACAUAUACCCCCCACCCAUUUCUAAUGCUAAUUAAGAUAGCAUGCAGUAAGUAUUCAAUGUUCUAGAUGUAAACCUGCAGUCAAUGUACCUCAAUCCAAGAAUGUUGAAUCACAGGACGGAGGGGGUGGGGUGACGGAGAGGAAAAUGUGCAUCUCUGCUGCACUUCCUACAGCUUCUUUGAGACAGAAAUCUGAUUGGGCGCAUAAUCGUGUCAUUUAAAUGGAGAGCAAUAAGGCAAAAUUGACUCCCUGUCAUGUCGCCCUCCUGUCCUCGAGUGCUUAUUAUGUGUACUAGCGGCAAACAAUGCAGAAGAGACGAGGAGAGGUAGUGAAUCAAACAAACUUGCCACAGUUUACAUUCCUAUAAAGCUAAGUAUUUGCACGGCAGUAAAUGAAUAUUUAUGCUAAGUGCGUACUUCCCUCUCCUGAACGCUUUCAACUCAUCCAACAUCCAUCCUGCGUAACAGGCGGAGGCAGAGCAAACAGGAACGCUGGAGCAUGGCGAGGGACUGGUCACCACUUGCCUUAAUCCCAGAGUCCAGCAGUGACCAGGGCAUGGAAUCAGAGGCUGGUUGAAGAACUGGACCAGCAUCCUGGAUCUGGUGCUGGAGCUGAGAUUGGC